AAAGAUUUUUUUUCAAGCCUGCAGAGUGACCAGCAGGAGGCAGCAGAUCCACAAAUACUGAAAUAUUCUGCAACAUUCAAAAUGAAGAGAAACAUUGAAGACUUCAGAUCAAAAGUCUCACGUUAACUAUUUGUUGAAGAAAAAUGUUUGGGUCCUCUGCAGCUGUUUAAACUUUUAAAUACACAAAUAAAGGAAAUGAUGAGAUGACUUUCUGUCUGGCUCAUUGAGCUUUUAAUCUCAUCUGAUGUCUGUAUUAAAAACACUGUGUAGCAAGAACAAUGAUUGACAGUUUGAGUUUAAUGUGAUAAUUGUGAAAAUGAGAUGAAUGUUUCUGUGAUUCUGUAAAGAAAGGCUUGUUAAAUCACUUUUAUUCUGAUUAUAAUGAAUGUAAUACGUUGAACGUCUUUGAUUCAGUAAUGAAGAGAAAGAAAUAUAAAGUGAUCAUUUCUCUGCUGUUUGUUCACAGCGUAUGAAUAUGUUAAAGGGACGUUCCACCCUAUAAUAAAAUGAUAAUUACUGU